rnacentral:rRNA from 1 species
CCCUUAGAUGUUCUGGGCCGCACGCGCGUUACACUGAUGCAUUCAACGAGUUCUUCCUUGGCCGAGAGGCCUGGGCAAUCUUUUGAACGUGCAUCGUGAUAGGGAUAGAUUAUUGCAAUUAUUAAUCUUGAACGAGGAAUUCCUAGUAAACGCAGUUCAUCAAACUGCAUUGAUUACGUCCCUGCCCUUUGUACACACCGCCCGUCGCACCUACCGAUUGAAUGGUCCGGUGAAUAAUUCGGACUGCAGCACUGCUUGGUCUCCAGGCUUUGCAGCGGAAAGUUUAGUGAACCUUAUCACUUAGAGGAAGGAGAAGUCGUAACA